UACGUAGGUGGCAAGCGUUGUCCGGAAUUACUGGGUGUAAAGGGAGCGUAGGCGGGUCGGCAAGUCAGUGGUGAAAUACAUGGGCUUAACCCAUGAAUUGCCAUUGAAACUGCCGGUCUUGAGUUGAUCAGAGGCAAGCGGAAUUCCGAGUGUAGCGGUGAAAUGCGUAGAUAUUCGGAGGAACACCAGUGGCGAAGGCGGCUUGCUGGGGUCUAACUGACGCUGAGGCUCGAAAGUGUGGGGAGCAAACAGGAUUAGAUACCCG
rnacentral:rRNA from 1 species